CUCAAAAUGGAUAAAGAAACAAUCAGUUCUCAUAUUUAGACCACGGAUGUGAAAUUUUCCCCCUAGAAUAAUGAUAUCGAAAGAACAUGAUUCAACCUGCAAGGGUGGAACUUUAAGGCGGAUCAGAGCAUCGGAGAGUCGCAAGGUGACAGAGUUUUUGCAUAGUCGCCUUCGCGUAUUUUUACUAGUAUGGACUCUACAGUAGUCUUAUGUUUCCCUUAAGUCAUUUGAGUUUGUACUCAUAUUGUUAAGACAUGUUGCCUUAGUACGAUUUCUAGUUGAUCCAUGUUGAGACAUGUC